AUGCACGCUGGCGGCGUGCCUAAUACAUGCCAGUCGCGCGAACAGACGAGGAGCUUGCUCCUCUGACGUUAGCGGCGGACGGGUGAGUAACACGUGGAUAACCUACCUAUAAGACUGGGAUAACUUCGGGAAACCGGAGCUAAUACCGGAUAAUAUAUUGAACCGCAUGGUUCAAUAGUGAAAGACGGUUUUGCUGUCACUUAUAGAUGGAUCCGCGCCGCAUUAGCUAGUUGGUAAGGUAACGGCUUACCAAGGCAACGAUGCGUAGCCGACCUGAGAGGGUGAUCGGCCACACUGGAACUGAGACACGGUCCAGACUCCUACGGGAGGCAGCAGUAGGGAAUCGUCCGCAAUGGGCGAAAGCCUGACGGAGCAACGCCGCGUGAGUGAUGAAGGUCUUCGGAUCGUAAAACUCUGUUAUUAGGGAAGAACAAAUGUGUAAGUAACUAUGCACGUCUUGACGGUACCUAAUCAGAAAGCCACGGCUAACUACGUG
rnacentral:rRNA from 1 species